GGAGGCCGAGAGGGGGCAGCAGGCGAUGGCGGCGGCGGCGGCGGGUCGGCUAGGCUGGUUGCUCGCCGCGCUCUGCCUGGGCAACGCCGCCGGAGAGGCGGCGUCGGGCCCGCGAGUGUUGGGUGUCUGUCUGGAAGAAGACGGAGCCGCGGACGCGGGGUGGGCGCGCGGAGGAGAGGUGCGGGCCGCGUCGGAGGCCACCUUCCGCCUGCGCGUCUUCGGCUCGGGUUUGGCCAACAGCUCCUGGUCCUGGGUGGCCCCCGAGGGGGCGGGCUGCCCCGAGGGCGGGCCGGCCGCGGCGCCCGAGGAGGCGGCGGCCCCCACGGGCGAGUGGCGCGCGCUGCUGCGCCUGCGCGCCGAGGCCGCGCGCCCGCACUCGGCGCUGCUGGCGGUGCGCGGGGAGCCGGAUGGCUCGGCGGCCCAGGAGACGGCGGCCCCCACGGGCGAGUGGAGCGCGCUGCUGCGCCUGCGCGCCGAGGCAGUGCGCGUGGAGCCGGGCGGCGCGGCAGCUGAGGAGGCGGCGCCGCCCUGGGCGCUGGGCCUAGGGGCGGCGGGGCUGCUGGCUCUAGCGGCGCUGGCGCGGGGCCUGCAACUGAGCGCGCUGGCGCUGGCGCCCGCCGAGGUGCAGGUGCUGCGCGAGAGCGGCUCGGAGGCCGAGCGUGCGGCGGCGCGGCGCCUGGAGCCCACACGGCGCUGGGCCGGCUGCGCCCUGGGCGCGCUGUUGCUGCUGGCCAGCCUGGCGCAGACGGCGCUGGCGGUGCUGCUGUACCGCGCGGCCGGCCAGCGUGCUGUGCCCGCCGUGCUAGGCAGCGCGGGGCUCGUGUUCCUGGUGGGCGAGGUGGUGCCGGCCGCCGUGAGCGGACGCUGGGCGUUGGCACUGGCGCCGCGCGCGCUGCUCCUCAGCCGCCUGGCCGUGCUGCUGACCCUGCCGGUGGCGCUGCCCGUGGGCCAGUUGCUGGAGCUGGCGGCGCGGCCCGGGAGGCUGCGCGAGCGCGUGCUGGAACUGGCGCGCGGGGGCGGCGACCCUUACAGCGAUCUCAGCAAAGGCGUGCUGCGCUGUCGGACCGUAGAGGACGUGCUUACUCCGCUCGAGGACUGCUUCAUGCUGGACGCCAGCGCCGUGCUGGACUUCGGCGUCCUGGCCAGCAUCAUGCAGAGCGGCUAUACGCGCAUCCCGGUGUACGAGGAGGAGCGCUCCAACAUCGUGGACAUGCUCUACCUCAAGGACUUGGCCUUCGUGGACCCCGAAGACUGCACACCACUCAGCACCAUCACCCGCUUUUACAACCAUCCACUCCACUUCGUCUUCAACGACACCAAGCUGGACGCUGUCCUGGAGGAGUUCAAACGAGGGAAGUCCCACCUGGCCAUCGUGCAGAGGGUGAACAACGAGGGUGAAGGUGACCCCUUCUACGAGGUGCUAGGCCUGGUCACCCUGGAGGACGUCAUUGAGGAGAUCAUCAAGUCUGAGAUCCUGGAUGAGUCUGAGGAUUACCGAGAUGCCACAGUGAGGAAGAAGCCUGCUUCUCUGAGUGCCCCUCUCAGGCGGAAAGAGGAAUUCUCCUUGUUCAAGGUGUCUGACGAUGAAUAUAAAGUGAAAAUCUCGCCUCAGCUGCUCUUGGCCACCCAGCGCUUCCUGUCCCGAGAGGUGGAUGUAUUCAGCCCCCUGCGAAUCUCCGAGAAGGUCCUGCUGCACCUGCUGAAGCAUCCCAGCGUCAACCAGGAAGUGAGGUUUGACGAGAGCAACCGUCUGGCUGCCCACCAUUACCUGUACCAGCGCAGCCAGCCGGUGGAUUAUUUCAUUCUCAUCCUGCAGGGCAGGGUUGAGGUGGAGAUCGGGAAAGAGGGCCUGAAGUUUGAGAAUGGGGCCUUCACCUACUAUGGAGUUUCUGCCCUGACAGCACCGUCCUCAGUUCACCAGUCCCCAGUGUCCUCGCUCCAGUCCAUCCGCCAUGACCUGCAGUCUGAGCCAACCGAUGGUGGCCGCUUGUCUGCAUACUGUCCUGACUACACCGUGCGGGCCCUCUCCGACCUACAGUUCAUUAAGGUCACGCGGCUGCAGUACCUCAAUGCACUCCUGGCUACUCGAGCCCAGAAUCUGCCACAGUCCCCGGAGAGCGCAGACCUCCAGGUCAUCCCAGGCAGCCAGAUCAGGCUCCUCGGUGACAAGACAGCCACAGCAGCAGCCUUCCCCGUAGACCUUUCCCUCUUUGGCACAUUUGGAAACUGCAGUUGAUAAUUGACUGUGGACUAGUGAGCAUUUUUUGUUUUCAGAAAACACCCAAGGGCCCAACCACAGCAGACCUGGCCUCCCAGCGGAGGAGAGCCCUGGGCGGAACCCAGGGGUUUAACUGCUUGCCAGGCAGCCCCAAGUGUGGGCAAUGGACAAGCACGUGGGGAACUGGAGAGCCGAGGAGUAGCUUCCCGUCAGCCUGUCCCCAUCCCCUCCAGGCCACGUUUUAGAUGGCCCUUAUAGAUGUCGGUCCUGGGCUGUCCUCAGAACCAGACCUCAGUGCCAGGAGCCUUCAGCAGGUCCUGCCCUCCUUUAGGAAAUGGGGGUUAGCUGGGGCGCAGCCCUCCAGGCCUGCUUCUGAAGGGAAUGGAAAGAACACUGUCAUCUCCGGUCCCCAGGACCCAGCCUUCUCCCUGUGACAGUGCAGUGUGUUUAUACCUCUUUGGGCCAAGCCAUGAUGUGAGUGCACGAUUACUGCCUUUAUGUGGCCGUGACCUGUACUCACUUUGCUUUUAAUUUGCCAACUUUCUGCUGCUGGCAGCACUUUUUGAGCAAACCAAGAGCACUAGUUUUGGCUGGGGGUUCACAUCCAUGACCUUGGCCACAGUGAACUAUUUGGCUUCCCUUACAAUGCCAUGUUUCAAAGCACAUGCCCCUGCCUGUUGCGUGUGCCAAACCUAGAAGAAGCACGAUGACCCACAAGUAUGUCCCACUGUCCUGCUCCCUCCUGUGGAGGUUGCUUCUCUGAGCCCUGAGCUCAGAGCCCUGAGCAAGCAAGCUGGCCCCCAGUGGCACUGAGGAGUCCUGCUCUUUCUGCUUCUCAGCCUGUCUUGCUUAGUUGCCACUAACAGUAUUUGUCUUUUUCUGUGUUUUAAGAAGAGGUCAUACAUGGGAGGAAGGGGUCUGCUGCACCUAAUCCUUUCUUAGUUGCUGGAUCCCAGGGAGAUUAACCAACUGCUAGACCUGUUUUUGUACCUUCUUCCUAGGCCUCUGUGGAGAGCUGUAUGCCUGUAAUUUGCAGGGAGAACAGCAAGGGGGAGGAGGGAAGGUUGGUUAUACACCAGGCAGAUCCUCAUCCCCUUUCUUAAAAAAAAAAAAAGAACAGGACAUCAGGUUUUUUUAUACCCCUGAAACAUUUCAGCUCUCUGCUUUUUUUGCUAUUCUUAGCUACAGGGUUUUAGAGAAUUGGGAAUAAGAAGGCAUUUGUCUUUUUCUUCUGGUUUACCCACAUUUACCUUCCACAGUUCCUCAACGGUGUAGAAACUGGGGCAUCAUAGAGACAGGAUCUCAGAUUGGAUAGGGAGGGAAGGAGGAUUUCUGGAACUUUUCUCAAAGGAAUUUGGAUCCCUUAUCUGGGACUAGUGGGAAUGAAAGCCAAAGAACAUUGGCAUGCUAACUUAGAAACUGUUCUCAAGGAAGUCUAAGAGCAAACCCAGGUGGGAAACAGAUACUUAGACAUCAUCUGUCUCCAGAACAAUGGUUCUUAACUUUGGCUGCACAUUAGAAUCACCUGGCAAAUUAAAAAAUACGGGAUACCUGGGGCCCACCUUCCAGGGAGCCUGAUUUAAUUGGUCUGGGUAUCAGGAUUUUAUUUUUUUUUUUGGAACAAUUUUAAUUUUUUUGUUUUUAAAGUAAGCUCCAUACCCAGUGUGGGGCUUGAGCUCCCAACCUUGAGAUCAAGAGUUGCAUGCUCUACUGACUGAGCCAGCCAGGUGCCCCUGAAAUAAUUUUAGAUUCCCAGAAGAGUUCCAUAUACCCUUUCCCUUAAUGUUAAUAUCUUACAUAACAUUGGUACACCUAUCAGAACUAAGAAAAAAUUAACAUUGGUACAAAACUGUUAACUAAAUUACAGACUUUACUUGGAUUAUAUCAGUUUUUCCAAUAAUGUCCUUUUUCUGUUGCAGGAUCCAAUCCAGGAUACCAAGUUGCAUUUAGAGUUAUUGCUUACUUUUUUUCUAACUAACUUUUUAUUUUGAAACCAUUACAGAUUCAUAGGAAGUUGCAAAGCUAGAGGUACCCUUCACCCAGUUUUCCAUAAUGGUUACUUCUUACAUAGUUAUAAUACAGUAUCAAAACCCAGAAGCUGACACUAGCACAAUGUGGGUGUAUAGUUCUCUGUCACAAGUAGAUUUGUGUAACCGCCACUCCAGCCUAGAUAGAGCUACCCCAUCACCACGAGGAUCUCCCUCCGGGCACCCUCUGAGAACCACACCCACCCCCUUGGCCUCCAUCCCUAAUCCCUGGCAACCACUGUUCUAAGAUUUUGUCAUUUCAAGAAUGUUGUGUGAGAUCAUAUAGUAUGUAACCAUUUGGGAUUGGCUUUUUUCACUCAGCAUAAUACUCCAGAGAUACAUCCAGGUUGUUGUGUGUGUCAGUAGUUCAUUCCUUUUGAUUGCUGCAUUGUAUUCCUUGAUAUACUCCUUGUCCCGUUGAAGGACAUCUGGGUGGUUUCCAGUUUUUGGCUAUUCCGAAUAAAGCUGCUAUGAACGUUCA